UGCUCAUGCAUUAAUUCAGGUAUUAAUGAGUGUGUUAGGAUGUGAAUUUGCACAUCCUACACAUCAUUGAGGUGGAUUUAAUUCCCUCUGAGAUCUCUGAUGACCACACUCCAGUCUGGUAGGUGGCGGUAAAUGCACCUUAAGUUGGAUGCCAGCCGCCAAUAAAAAACGAAAGAAGAAGAAGAAGAAGAAGAAGAUGGGCGCCAGCAAGCAACCAGCUUCACAACCACAGACAGACGCGAGUUGUGGCGGACAGCUGACAUUUUGGAGAAAGAUGUCUGAUUUAAGUCACUUUUUACGUGCCAGAGGAGUCCAUGAAGCUUCUAUUGCACUAAUGGAAGAACAAAAGAUUGACUGGGAUGUCGCAGCAACGCUGGAAAAUUAUGGAGACGGAAUUUCUUUUUUCAACUUCUGCUAAAGCAAAAAACUGUCCAAAAAAGGCCUUCUGCUAAAGACUGUUCCCUUCUUAAAGUGAAAGAAGCUAGAAAGUGUCAGAUUUGGAUGAUAUCAUUAGGCUUUACUUCAGACUGUCUUUAAGUAACAAAGAAAUCCUUCAUAUUUUAGUGCACAGUCAUCAUACUAUAUUAAGUAAUCGAACUCUAAAAAGAAUUUGCAGAAGACUUGGGCUGUUUAGAAGAAAGAAUCAGUGCGACCUUGAAGAAGUGCUGGCCUUUAUCCAACAACAAAUAAUGACUAAUGGACAAAUGCAAGGUUAUCGGUGGCUACAUCUUCGUGCGGUUCAACAUGGAUUUGUGGUGUCACACAAGACACUGUGAGAUAUUUGAUCAAAUUGUUUGACCCAGAAGGUGUGGAACUGAGACGAGCACGACGGUUGAGAAGACGUCAGUACAAUUGCAGAGGACCAAAUGCACUCUGGCUACGAUAAACUAAAACCUUAUGGCAUUGCUAUCAGUGGCUGUAUAGAUGGUUUUAGCCGACAUGUUUUAUGGAUGGAGGCUUAUACCACGAACAAUGACCCCAAAUUGAUUGCAAGUUACUAUUUGAAAACAUUUUCAUGCGUCAACGGAUGUCCAUAGAGGAUACGUGCCGACAGAGGCACAGAAAACAUUUGUAUUGAACAAAUGCAGAUAUUUCUGCAGCAAAACCACACAGACAGUUUUGCAGGGGACAAAAGUUUCCUUUACGGAAGAAGUACAUCCAACCAGCGCAUAGAAGGCUGGUGGUCGACCCUCGGCAAACAGAGUGCACAGUUUUGGAGGAACUUAUUUCAAACCUUUCUGGAUGAUGAUCACUUUACAGGAGACUUUUUGGAUAAAAGCCUCAUCCAAUUCUGCUUUCUUAAUCUUAUUCAGGUAGAAGUGUUUACUGGUUCACUGUAAUGUUUUUGUUUUAAAAAGUAUUAAAAGCAAAUCUGCUGGUAUGUUUACUAGAAAUAAUAAAAGCUCUUCUUCAAAGUGUUUAGCCACUUUCAGUGCGCAUAAAGAUAAUUUAAAAAGUGUUGCUGUUUAUCUCGAUCAUACGGAGCCAUUUGAUAGUUUUUGCAAUGUCUGAUAGGUGCCCUCUAAACAGGACUUCCUGCACUGCAUUUAAUUAGACAUAUUGUGUGCAAGCAAACAUAACAUUUUCGACAUCAUUCUGCUAGAACAUAAAAGUUUAUUGCUGUCAUAAUUUUAUUGUAGAGUUCUGAUUUGACCUGACAUUAGUCUUCAAGCUGUUACUGUGCUGAUAAAAGUAAAACAUACAGUUUUGUUGACAUGUUUUCAUUUCCCAAUCCAUAGUUUGUUUUGCUUUCACACUGUCAUUUGAAGAAACAACGCUGAUGCAAAGUUAAUUAUUGUUCUAUGAUAAUCAGUUAUGUACCAAAUAUCAAUCCUUUUAAAUGGGUAUGCAUUAUGAUUAAUGAAAAAUAUAAUUUUUUUUCAAACACAAUGCUGUUCUGUUAAACUAAAGAUAUUGACAAUGUA